rnacentral:misc_RNA from 1 species
AAGUCGUAACAAGGUAACCGUAGGUGAACCUGCGGUUGGAUCAUUAUUGAACAUGUUAAUCUGAACCAAUAUACUGAGUCAAUUCUUGCCUAACAAUACAGGGUUUGAUCUACAUAACAACCAAAAGUAUGUGAUACUGAUGCUGACAGGCCGUGCAAGUCAACAUUAUAAUCAACAUUCCCACCCCUACACGGUACAUGUGCCCUCUUUUAUCCACUGAUACUGGAACUGUAACGUACUGCAAAAUUCAGUUUGAACAACUUUUGACAACGGAUCUCUUGGCUCUU